UCUCAUCAAACCCAACACUUAUUUUAAUAAAUUUAUAGUUACGUGAAUUAAAUAAAAUAUAUUAACUAAACUCGUAAAGAUAAAUGAUUCAUUUAAAUUUUGAAGUUAAAAUAUCAUUAUUAGCUCAAAUCAAAUAAAUUAAAAUAUUAAACUGUAAAAUCAAAAAUUUUAAAAGUAAAUAAGUUAUGUCAAAAUAGGCGAAGUGAGGUGAGUAUUAUAUAUUUUUACCAAAGUAUAAU
rnacentral:lncRNA from 1 species